rnacentral:misc_RNA from 1 species
UUUCCGUAGGUGAACCUGCGGAAGGAUCAUUAAAAAAUUGGACUCCAUUGGUGAGUUCAUUAAUAAUCCCUACCCUUUGUGAAUUUGUUUGUUUGAAUAAUUUUUUUUCCAAAAAAAAUUAUUGAAUGUCUUUCCUUGUUUUGGUGGAGCUUGUAAAGUGAAACCAGGCAGGGGAAUGGCAAACAAUAAUUAUUUUGAAAAAGACCUUUUUUUAAAAUUAAACUUUUUGUAUUCAUUUGUCUAAAAUUAAUUUUUAUAAUAUAAAAACAACUUUUGACAAUGGAUCUCUUGGUUCUCGCAACGAUGAAGAACGCAGCAAAAUGCGAUAAGUAGUGUGAAUUGCAGAAUACGUGAAUCAUCGAAUCUUCGAACGCAUAUUGCACUUUUUUAGUUUACUAAAAAAGUAUGUCUGUUUGAGUAUCAGUAAAAUAUUCUCAUAAAAAACAUUGUUUUUUUUAUGGUUAUGAGUGUUUUACAACGAUAACAAGUUGUUUCACUUUAAAUUCUUUGUUAUCAAAAAAAUCAUUAAAAGCUAAUUUUAAAGAUUUUUUAAAAUUGGAUAAAAUUUUCCCGUAAAAAGGAAUAACCUAAACAAUUUUAAAAAAUUAAAAUUGGUUUGAUUUUUUUUGAAACCCAAAGGAAAAAAAAAACGAAAUUAACUUGAUCUCAAAUCAGAUAAGAGUACCGCUGAACUUAAGCAUAUCAAUAAGCGGAGGAAAAGAAACUAACUAGGAUUCCCUCAGUAACGGCGAGUGAAGCGGGAAGAGCUCAAAUUUGAAAUCUUCAAGGUUUUACCUUGACGAAUUGUAGUUUAAAGAAGUGUUUUCUGUUGGAGUUUUGGUAAAAGUUCUUUGGAAAAGGACAUCAUAGAGGGUGAGAAUCCCGUAUUUGACCAUUAUCUCCAGCUUUGUGAUACACUUUCAAAGAGUCGGAUUGUUUGGGAAUGCAGUCCAAAAUGGGUGGUAAAUUUCAUCUAAAGCUAAAUACUGGCGAGAGACCGAUAGCGAACAAGUACCGUGAGGGAAAGAUGAAAAGAACUUUGAAAAGAGAGUUAAACAGUACGUGAAAUUGUCAAAAGGGAAGCGUUUGACACCAGUGUUGUUUUCUCGAAAAUCAAUUAAAAAAGGCCGGAUUUGUGUUGUAUUGACUUUAUCAGCUUUCUGCACUCUUUUCUUGUCUUUUUUAAUGCACUUUUCGUUUAACAAGUCAACAUCAAUUUCCUCUGUUGUAAAAGGGUCAUUGGAAGGUGGCUUUCUUUUCGGAGAAAGUGUUUAUAGCCUUUGGCCUCUGCAAUCGGAGAGAUUGAGGUCUGCAGCGUAGAUCCUUCGGGUUAGAUACAUUUGUGCUAAGUUAUAGCCUUUCAUAGACAACUUGUUGACUAUGAUCAGUCAUGUAGCUUACUCGCUUAUGCUAUUUUACCUACGCUUAGGAUGUUG